AAAUGGUGCAAGGUAGGAUCAGAUGUACUCAUAGUUUAUUGGAUGUCUUAUUAUAAACAAUUACUUGGAUCUGCAAUUCAAAAAAGUUUCGCUAUUCCUGCUGAACUAUAGAAGGUGUUGAACUGCAGAAGGUUGAUCAAAGAUCUCCAUGAAUAAUACCCCUAGUAAUAAAAGAUACCUUCAUCAUCAUC